GCUUUGAUGGCUCAAUUGGAUAGAUCGAUGGAUAGAGCGUUGGACUUCUAAUCCAAAGGUUGCGGGUUCAAGUCCCGCCCAGAGUA